AGAUCUGUAACAUUACAUAAAAUUAAUAUGAAAUAUAUUUCAAAAUAUAAGGAAAAUAUUCUCAAAAAUCAACAAAUUAAUCAAUAUUACUUACAACUUGGCGCAGCUGCAGAUUCAAAUCUCUUUUGUAUCUGAUCAUAGGGCUAUAACUACAUGAAUUUGAACCACAAGCAGAUGGGCUUGAAGGACUGGCAGGGCCUUCCAUGUCUGAAGAAUCACCAGUAUUGUUU